GCCUGAUGCAGCCAUGCCGCGUGUAUGAAGAAGGCCUUCGGGUUGUAAAGUACUUUCAGUUGUGAGGAAGGGGGUGUCGUUAAUAGCGKUAUCUCUUGACGUUAGCAACAGAAGAAGCACCGGCUAACUCCGUGCCAGCAGCCGCGGUAAU
rnacentral:rRNA from 1 species